AACAAAAAGUGGGUCCUAUGUAACAUCUCUAUAUUCUCUCCUUUAGUAAUUCAGAUUCUGUCCAAAAUUUUGAAGGAAGAGUGAAAAAGGUGUGUUAUUGCAAAAUUGCAUACUCUUUGUUUGGACUUUACUUGGAUUUGCAGCCUUAGCCUACCUUUUCAUUGCUAUCUCUCCCAACAAACAAGUUAUCUCGCUUAGGCAUUUGUGGUAAUCAACAGUACCAAAAUAUCCAUCACUUCAUUUCAAUUUUGUUAUCAUUUUUUAAUAAGAGAUAUUUUCAAAUUGUAGCAUAUCAUCUUAUAAAGUUGAAGAUUGUAUGCCGGAUAUAUUUUAACUGAUUAAAGGAGGUUGUGUGUGAAAAUUAGUAAUUAGUAAAUAAUAAGAGUGACUUUUCUCUUCCAAAUCUUUAGCAUAAGUUUAGUAUAGGUUAAUCAACUAAUGAAACAACUAUUAAAUAAUUAUAGGGGUCGAUGAUAAAAAUCUUUUAUAUAUUAAACGUAAUAAAAUACUCAAUUCAUCGCAACUCUUUAAAAUACUUAAUUCAUCCUAAAAUUAAUGUUUAAUAAUAAUUAAUUAUAAUUUAUAUUAUUACUACAAAAAAUUUAUAAUUGAUACUAAAUAAUUAUAAUGUGUGUAUAUAAUUUGAAAGUUAAUUAUAAUAUUGAUAUUUUUUCCCCUUUGAACCUCUCUUUCAAGGUACAUAUAUAGUAUAAAAAAAUUCAUAUAUAGUAUUAAUUAAGUAUAUAAUUGAUAAUAUUACUUAAUAAUAAAUUGUUUAAAAGAAUUCGAAUUUAAAUUUUAAUUAAAAUUAUUUUUAGUUAAAUUUUAUUUUUUCCAUCAAAUUUAGAAUUACUAAAAUAUUAAAAAAUAAAUGCAGUAUUCUAAAAAUGAAAAGGAAAGGAAGAAGAGAGGUAACCUUUUCUUUGUGGAAGGAAAAAGAAAUUAAAGAGAAAAACAAGUGGGGAGGGGAAAAAAAAGGACAGAUUCGAUAAAAUGCGGAUAAGAUGCAUAUCUUGUUAUGACAAAAAAGAAAACACACUCACAGUAGCAGCCACUUAAAGGUGGAUGUGGGGAGGAUCCACCCACCACUUGUAGCAUGUAAAAACGCAACUCCAUCUACCAUGUUUUAAAUCCUCAGGAAAUCGCAAAACUUCCAUCUAGUAAUUUCAGAAAUCGAUAUUUGGCAAUCAAAACUUCACCUCAAUCCUCUAUGGCUCGUCAGAUUGGUGUUGAUUGAAAAUAAAUAAAAAGAGAAAAUUAUGAUAAAUUGAGCUUUAAACAUUCAUAAUACUAGUAACUUUUUUACUUACCCUACAUCAAUUAAGUCACUAUUUUGAUAAUAUGAAACUUUUAUAAACUAAAAUUUACGAGAAAGAUUUAAUUGAUAUGAAUUAGGUAUUGAUUGAGAGAGUAUUUUUGAAAAAAGUCAUAAAUAUAAGUGAAAGAAAAAAAAAAGUCAUUUUCGAUUACCACUACUACAAUAAUUUUUUAGUCUUUUUUUCUUGUUUGUAAGUUUUGUGAUUUGUUGUAUUAGUUAGUCAUUUGACACAAUUUAUUUAUCAUCUUGAAAUUUUUUUUUACCUUUAUUUGAUUUCAAUUGAGUUAUUUAGUUUCUCUAGACGACAUGUUAUUUAUACUUUUAUAUUGAGGUUUUUUAUAUUAAAUAUUAAUGUUUUUAUGCACUUUUAUUUGAAUUUAUUGUUAUAUAUUUAUUGUUGCUCUUUACAGAUUUUUGUGAGUCGAGAUAAUUUUAUAUAUAUUAUUUGUUAUUAAAUUUAUAUAUUAAUUUCCAAUUAAAAUAUACUAAAAAAUAUUUAGACUUUUAGUAAAUUACAAUAUUUAGAUCAUUAAAAAUGUUUUUAAUUUUAUCAUAGCUAACUCUAAAUUUAUGACCCUAAAUGAUUGUUUGUUAUGUAUUAAUCAUAUAAAAAAAUUAUGUUUAUAAUAUAUAAUAAUUAAACUCUAAAUUAUUUUUAUAUUUUAUAUAUACAUAUUCCCUUUGUUAUUAUUUAAUUCAAAUACUUUUGUUUAUAAAUAAGAAAUGAAAAGAAUAAGUCCGGCCUUUUUGAUAUUGUGAGUGUAUGUGUUUGUGUGACAAUCCAUUUAAAACGUGAUCACCCAUUAAAUUUAGAUGCCACAUAGAAUAACCCCUAUUUUUUGUAAAUAAUAUUUUUAAAUAGAUUGAGAUUUUCAAUUAAAACCUAAUUGUAAUUUUUUAAUAAAAGCUAAAAAAAAUUAUUCAAAAUUGAAUUAAAAACAAUAAAAAAUUAACUGCUUGCUUCAUGCUUCUGCUUUCAAAUUCAAUUAGUUUUGCACUAUUAUUUUUCCUAUUCCAUAUUCUUUUUAAUAUCGCAUUUUAUUAAGGUAAAAUAUAUUGUAUCUGCACCCUAUUGUGGGUGGCCUGUCAUUUAUUCCAAAAAUGUAACAAAUAUAUUUCAUUUUCAAGUUACUUAAAUUAAUAAUUAAACCAUAAAUAUAUAUUGUUAUUCUUAGUAAUGAAAAUUGAAUAUGAACAAUAAAAAUGGUGUUACCAUUGCAAAGCCUAUAUCGAUCCUUUGUCAUGUGCAGGUCAGAUGUACACAGAUUGAGAUGCAUAAUGUGAAAGCAAUAAUAUCUUUAUACCUAUCAAGAUGUGAUCAUUUAAACAUCUAAGUGUUGUAAAUUUACAUAUUAUGUGUGAGAUGGGAUACAUGCAUGUAGGAUAGAGCUGCAGGUCGAUCGCCAUGUGUCGCAAAGUUAGAAAGCCUUUAAUCCAAAUUGGAAAAAUCCAAGGGUAUAAUAGGGUGCUCCAGAUUCACUCAUCAAGAGGAUGAUAUUAGGGGGCUCCAUUUUUUUAUUCAUGGGUUUAUCUAAAGUCGUCAAUUUCACAAGCUUAUUCAUUAUUACUCUCAUCUCACUUAUUUAAAUGGUCAUAUAUUUCAUAGUUAUUUAAAUUCUAAAAAUUAAAAUUUUA
rnacentral:lncRNA from 1 species